rnacentral:rRNA from 1 species
ACGCUGGCGGAAUGCUUUACACAUGCAAGUCGAGCGGCAGCGCGGGGCAACCUGGCGGCGAGCGGCGAACGGGUGAGUAAUGCAUCGGAACAUGUCCAGUCGUGGGGGAUAACCUGGCGAAAGCCAGGCUAAUACCGCAUGCGCUCGAGAGAGGAAAGCGGGGGACUCGCAAGGGCCUCGCGCGAUUGGGUUGGCCGAUGUCCGAUUAGCUAGUUGGCGGGGUAAGAGCCCACCAAGGCGAUGAUCGGUAGCUGGUCUGAGAGGAUGAUCAGCCACACUGGGAACUGAGACACGGUCCAGACUCCUACGGGAGGCAGCAGUAGGGAAUAUUGCGCAAUGGAGGAAACUCUGACGCAGCGACGCCGCGUGGGCGAUGAAGGCCUUCGGGUCGUAAAGCCCUGUCGGAAGGGAAGAAAAACAGAGAGGUGAACAACCUAACUGCUUGACUGUACCUUUAGAGGAAGCACCGGCUAACUACGUGCCAGCAGCCGCGGUAAUACGUAGGGUGCAAGCGUUGUUCGGAAUCAUUGGGCGUAAAGCGCGUGAAGGUGGUUUGGAAAGUCGGUUGUGAAAUACCUGGGCUUAACCGAGGAAGUGCAGUCGAAACUUCCAAACUAGAGAUUGGUAGAGGAAGGUGGAAUUCCAAGUGUAGAGGUGAAAUUCGUAGAUAUUUGGAGGAAUACCGGUGGCGAGGGCGGCCUUCUGGGCCACAUCUGACACUGAGACGCGAAAGCGUGGGGAGCA